rnacentral:rRNA from 1 species
GAUGAACGCUGGCGGCGUGCCUAAUACAUGCAAGUCGAGCGAACAGACGAGGAGCUUGCUCCUCUGACGUUAGCGGCGGACGGGUGAGUAACACGUGGAUAACCUACCUAUAAGACUGGGAUAACUACGGGAAACCGGAGCUAAUACCGGAUAAUAUAUUGAACCGCAUGGUUCAUUAGUGAAAGACGGCUUUGCUGUCACUCAUAGAUGGUUCUGCGCCGCUUUAGCUAGUUGGUAAGGUAACGGCUUACCAAGGCAACGAUGCGUAGCCGACUUGAGAGGGGGAUCGCCCACAUGGGAACGAGAACACGGACAAGACUCCUACGGGAGGAAGCAGUAGGGAACCGUCGGCAAUGGGGGAAAGCCUGACGGAGCAACGCGGCGUGGGUGAUAAAGGUCUUCGGAUCGUAAAACUCUGUUAUUAGGGAAAAACAGAGGUGGAAGGAACUGUGCACGUCUUGACGGUAGCUAAUCAGAAAGCCACGGCUAACUACGUG